rnacentral:rRNA from 1 species
GACGAACGCUGGCGGCGUGCUUAACACAUGCAAGUCGAACGGUAAUGCCCUUCGGGGUACACGAGUGGCGAACGGGUGAGUAACACGUGGGUGAGCUGCCCUGCACUUCGGGAUCAGCCUGGGAAACUGGGUCUAAUGCCGGAUAGGACCACUGCCUGCAUGGGCGGUGGUGGUAAGCUUUUGCGGUGUGGGAUGGGCCCGCGGCCUAUCAGCUUGUUGGUGGGGUGAUGGCCUACCAAGGCGACGACGGGUAGCCGGCCUGAGAGGGUGACCGGCCACACUGGGACUGAGAUACGGCCCAGACUCCUACGGGAGGCAGCAGUGGGGAAUAUUGCACAAUGGGCGCAAGCCUGAUGCAGCGACGCCGCGUGAGGGAUGACGGCCUUCGGGUUGUAAACCUCUUUCAGCACCGACGAAGCGCAAGUGACGGUAGGUGCAGAAGAAGGACCGGCCAACUACGUGCCAGCCGCCGCGGUAA